rnacentral:rRNA from 1 species
AGAGUUUGAUCCUGGCUCAGCGCGAACGCUGGCGGCGUGCCUAACACAUGCAAGUCGUGCGGAGGGGUGAUGAGCCCCUCAGCGGCAAACGGGUGAGUAACACGUGAGUAACCUGCCCCUGGGAAGGGGAUAACCCUCCGAAAGGGGGGCUAAUACCCUAUAUUGCCGGGGACCACUAAGGUCACCCGGUGAAAGGUGGCCUCUGCCCUUCAUGGGUAUGCUACCGCCCAGGGAGGGGCUCGCGGCCCAUCAGGUAGUUGGUGGGGUAACGGCCUACCAAGCCUAUGACGGGUAGCCGGCCUGAGAGGGUGGCCGGCCACAGUGGGACUGAGACACGGCCCACACCCCUACGGGGGGCAGCAGUGGGGAAUCGUGGGCAAUGGGCGAAAGCCUGACCCCGCGACGCCGCGUGGGGGAUGAAGCCCUUCGGGGUGUAAACCCCUGUCGGGGGGGACGAUGUGUCCUGGGGUGAAUAAUCCCAGGGCAUGACGGUACCCCCAGAGGAAGGGACGGCUAACUACGUGCCAGCAGCCGCGGUAAUACGUAGGUCCCGAGCGUUGCGCGA